AUAAACAUUGAUCUGACAGUGAUCUGAGAGUGGCAGCUGUGGUCUGACAGUGAAGGGUUGAUAGUGGAGGGGUCCAUGUCAGUGAUUGCGUAGUCGACUACACUAGCUCCAAGAGCUGAGCAAUCGGUGUGAAUCGGACAGAGGACGCAGAUCAUAAGCAGUCCAAUCUCACACAGCCCUGCUGAACUCCUGAAGCCCACUAAGGAACCAACAUCAACUGCUGACCCUGUUGCUGUACCAGGAACAUGGAGUGAAGCUGGUGUUUCUUCCACCCCCUCUGCUCCCAGCUGCUCAGUACCAUUAAACACCGGGAUGGUGAAUGUAGUAUUCUUAACUCACUUCUUAACCUUAGUGAGGAAAAGGGCUGGAGAAUGCUUAAAGUACUUUGGAUUUUGUUGCUGUACCGUAAUAUUAUGCUUCUUUGGAAGAUUUGUACUGGAAGUAUUAGUGAAGAAUAUUCCUUACUCAACAGUUUUUACUGCAUGCGUUUUCAUUUAGAGCUUCAAAGCACUUGUUACACAUGACAAAAGCCAGAGACCCCAAAAUGAUUUUUUCUUCUUUUAUUUUUCUCUUCCAUUCAGUCAAAUUUCUGUGCACUCUAACGGUGUUUUUAUUACAACACCCAGUCAAUCCCUGUCAGUGUAAAAUAAAACAUCCAAGGCGAUUCAUGUGAUUAAACGUACAUCCUCUCUGACGUUUACUUCCACGUUUAAUUGAGUAGAAUUUUGAUUCAAUACUGCUUGAGUAUAGUGUUUCUGUACUUUUUCCUCCCUUGCUAAAGACCUGCUCUAAUUGUUUUCUUUGUCUUCCUCUGGUUUACAACACCCCGUUUUGGUGGAAAACAUGUUGCUGCUGCAAAGCCAGCCCUUAAUUUGGCAAGGAGGCCUCCUGCUCAGCAUCUUUCCACCAUCAUUACCACAGCUAGCCCACCUGAUUUCAGCAGCCCUACCACUGCCAGGACCACCUCUGCCACAACCCAGCCAUCGUCUAGUCCUGCAAAGACACAGGGGUCACCAGUGCCUCGUCCCGUCCACCACCAGUUCCUUUGUCUUUGUCACGUUGAGCUGCAGGUGGUUCCGCUCGCACCAUGCGAGAAAGUCCUUCACUGUCGCCCUGUACUCAUCCUCAUCACCCUUGCUGAUACAUACUAUCGCAGAGUCAUCAGAAAACUUCUGAAGGUGGCAAGUCUCUCUGCAGUAGCUGACGUCUGUGGUGUAGAGGGUGGAGAGGAAGGGAGAGAGGACAGUUCCUUGUGCAACUCCAGUGUUGCUGACCACUCUGUUCAACACACACAGUCACAUAAUCUAAUCUAAUCUAAUCUAACCUUAAUCUAACCAUGCCCGAGUGAUGUACUCACUUCGCCCUGGUUUAAAGUGCUUGUGCUAUGAUCAGAACAGAGGCCCUUAUGGUUAGAUCUGACCCUCAUCAGUAUGUCUUGGGCAUUUGGCACAACAUGGAGAUCUCAAGAAUCUGUCCGGAGGUAGAGACGAACGCUCCGGAGCUUAGCGUUCCCGCCGCAGUGUGGAGCGGGUACAAUGGCGUCGUGGCUGAGGCUUUGCUAGUCAGAGUCACAGGAACAGCAGAAGGGGAGAAGUACGCGCCCUACGGAGUCCUCCGAUUCAUGAGGCGCGAGAGAUUCUAUGUAGUUGUUCUGUUUGUUUGAUUUCAUGUGAUUUUUAUUCAAUAUUAAUAUGCUGUUUAAAUGUGUUUGAGACCUCUUAAUAAAAAUGCUCAGUUUCUAGUCUUAUCUUACCUGACAAACUCAUAGAAACCAUCAGAAGUUUCUGUUUGUUCCUGCUGCUUUUAUAAUAUUCAGCUAUGGUAGUUAGUGUUUUUCUGAUAGGUCGGUAUCAAAUUGUAAAGACCUGUAAUGGCUUAAUUUUUCCUCCUUGCACUUUUUCAGCAAGGAUGGACCGUGUAGUUUAGAAUCAUAUCUCGAGAUCUUCUGCUUGCUCAAAGUCAUUUUCAGACUUUAAGGGGAAAAAUGAUAGCUAAUAUAUGCUACGCAGGUAAGCACUCUGACCUGCCCUGCUGGACGGGAGCUACACUGGGCUGGAAGGAGGUUCAACCUGUGCUGCACGCAGCAUUUCCAUAUGGAGAAAUCCUCAGAAUAUGAUAGAUGAUGAAAUAUAAGAAAGAGGAUCUUAAUAUUAGUCAGUUAUGGAUUUACAGUAACUGUUAAAGCUCUGCAAACCGCAGCCGAGUGUGAAGCGGCCGGGAUGAGGAUCAGUACCUCCAAAUCCGAGGCCAUGGUUCUCAGACGGGAAAGGGUGGAGAUCCCUCUCUGGGUUGGGGAUGAGCUCUUGCCUCAAGUGGAGGAGUUUAGGUAUCUCGGGGUCUUGUUUACGAGUGAUGGUAAAGUGGAGCGGGAGAUUGACAGGCGGAUUGGUGCUGGGUCAGCAGUGAUGCGGGCUCUUUACCGGUCUGUUGUGGUAAAGAAAGAGCUGAGCUAUAAGGCAAGGCUCUCGAUUUACUGAUCGAUCUACGUUCCCACCCUCACCUAUGGUCAUGAGCUUUGGGUAAUGACCGAAAGACCGAGAUCGCGAAUACAAGCGGCCAAAAUGAGUUUCCUCCGCAGGGUGUCUGGACUCUCCCUUAGAGAUCGGGUGAGAAUUUCGGUCAUCCGGGAGGGACUCGGAGUAGAGCCGCUGCUUCUCCACGUCGAGAGGAGCCAGCUGAGGUGGUCUGGGCCUCAUUGCUGCCCCGGCGACCCGAACCCUGGAGAAGCGGACGAUGAUGGAUGGAUGGAUGUUAAAGCUCUGCAGUGAGGUACAUUAUAUUAUAUUAUACAUUAUUAUUUAAUC
ensembl:lncRNA